ACGCCCGUAGCUCAGUGGAUAGAGCAUUGGUCUUCGGAACCAAGUGUCAGGGGUUCGAAUCCCUUCGGGCGUA
rnacentral:tRNA from 1 species